AUUGAACGCUGGCGGCAGGCUUAACACAUGCAAGUCGAGCGAGCGGCGGACGGGUGAGUAAUGUCUGGGAAACUGCCUGAUGGAGGGGGAUAACUACUGGAAACGGUAGCUAAUACCGCAUACCAUCAGAUGUGCCCAGAUGGGAUUAGCUAGUAGGUGGGGUAAUGGCUCACCUAGGCGACGAUCCCUAGCUGGUCGGAGAGGAUGACCAGCCACACGGGAAGGGAGACACGGUCCAGACUCCUAGGGGAGGCAGCAGUGGGGAAUAUUGCACAAUGGGCGCAAGCGUGAGGCAACCGUGCCGGGUGUGUGAAGAAGGCCUUCGGGGUGUAAAUCACUUUCAGCGAGGAGGCGUUACUCGCAGAAGAAGCACCGGCUAACUCCGUGCCAGCAGCCGCGGUAAUC
rnacentral:rRNA from 1 species